GGGUUGUGAGGUUAAGCGACUAAGCGUACACGGUGGAUGCCCUGGCAGUCAGAGGCGAUGAAGGGCGUGCUAAUCUGCGAUAAGCGCCGGUAAGGUGAUAUGAACCGUUAUAACCGGCGAUACCCGAAUGGGGAAACCCAGUGUGACUCGUCACACUAUCAUUAACUGAAUCCAUAGGUUAAUGAGGCGAACCGGGGGAACUGAAACAUCUAAGUACCCCGAGGAAAAGAAAUCAACCGAGAUUCCCCCAGUAGCGGCGAGCGAACGGGGAGGAGCCCAGAGCCUGAAUCAGCAUGUGUGUUAGUGGAAGCGUCUGGAAAGGCGCGCGAUACAGGGUGACAGCCCCGUACACAAAAGCGCAUAUGCUGUGAGCUCGAUGAGUAGGGCGGGACACGUGGUAUCCUGUCUGAAUAUGGGGGGACCAUCCUCCAAGGCUAAAUACUCCUGACUGACCGAUAGUGAACCAGUACCGUGAGGGAAAGGCGAAAAGAACCCCGGCGAGGGGAGUGAAAAAGAACCUGAAACCGUGUACGUACAAGCAGUGGGAGCCCCACCACUAAGCCAGUGGUGAACUCCACAUACGCAUCCUUUGCUGAGGAUACGGUUAACGGAGCGCAAGCGACGUUCAACCGCAAAAGAAGCAGAGGGGGCUUAGUGGUGG
rnacentral:rRNA from 2 species